ACCUUCAUAAGUCCUUCAAUUAGGUCCCUGCUCUUGUUGCAUUUUAACCCCUCAGCUUCCCCUUGUUCUGAUAUGACCCGAAAAGUGGAAAAAGUGCGUUUGUUUCUCCCUUCUAGAUUUAAAUCAUCUUCUAAUAAGCAUGAAUAGUCCUUUUACUAGAUUAAUUCUUGUUUGUAGGUUCUAAUUGUGGUUCAAUAAUUUAUUUUGAUUUUAUCAUGUUGGGUUUAAUGAAACAAGUGCCUUGGGCUAAGAGGUUAUUUUUGUUUGGGUUUAAGAAAGUCGUUUUAGUUUAUUUUGUUUGGUUUUUUGGUUCGGGCUAGAGGGUCAAGGCCCAUCUUUUUGGUUGGCUAAUGUUUGGGUCAAAAUAUUAUACUAGCCCACUUGUUUUCCUUGGACUUUCGAUUGGGUCAAGUUAUCUUGGCCCAAGAAAGGUGAAGAUGGCCCAUUCCCUUUUUGUUUUGGAUUUUCGGUUGGGCUUGUAAGGCUUUGGCCCAAACAAAUAAAGGAAAUGGCCCAAUGGCUUGGUCCAUUAAGAAACCAGAAAACGAUUUUGCAAAUCAGUCCCUGAAUUUCUCCCUAAUUGUAUUGUGGCCCUGGACAUUUUCAACUUCUUUUAAUUCGGUCCUUGCUUUAAUUGCAAAUAGGUCCCUGAACUUUAUUUUUCUUUAAUUUUGACCUCCAAACUUUGUCAAUCUUUGCAAUCAGGUCCUUUCUUCUCUUGACUUCUUAAAUGUGAAUUGUCGACAUGAUUUAAUUGAUUCAAAUUCAUGCUUAUUUUUUAUCCUUUGUGAUUAUUUGCCAAAUAAAUUGGUACCUUGACCUUUUUAUUGUUUUGAAGCUAAUAUCUCAUUUACUCGAUUUCCGUUGCGAGGGAGGUAACUUCUAUAUUCUUGAGUUUAUUUUUUCCUACGUGCUCCUACGUGUUAUGUGAAUAUGCCUGUCUACUUUGCUUUCUUUGCCUUUCUUUAAUUCUUUUCAUUUUUUUUACUUACUUUUGCUUUUUAUUUAAGUUAUUCAUUAUGGGGUAUGUGUACACCUCUUGGCUUGUAAUAGUUAGGGAUUUAAUUAUUUUAUUCUUUUCCCCCUUUUAGAUUGUAGUGGGGUCUCCCUAAUGUAAUAGAUAGGGUUUGGAGGAGCAUUCAAUGAAGACCUAUCGAAGUCAUGUGCCUAGCUAGCAAAUGUAAUAGUUAGGGCUUUAAUUGUCUUAUGUGUCUUGCAUGCUUAGUUACUACGUGUUAAUUUGCUUUGUUAGGGCUUUGCAUCUAGUCGAGCAUGUUAAAUGUUAUGUGCUAUGUGCUUAUAAGUGUUUGGCAUGUCUACUCGCUUUCUAUAGCAUGAAUGAAUGUGAUGGACGAACGUCACCACACUAGUCCAAUGCUAGUUGUGGUUCAUUAUUUCAUUAGGAAUUCAUAGGAAGGGCUAGUCCAACGCUAGACCCAAUAGAAUUUUUCCUUUGUUUUUCACUAAUGCAUUAUUUGCCUGUGCACCACAUAUCAUGCAUUUUUUCUUAGUUUUAUCACUUGGCAUGCUCCUCGAACCCCCUUUCCCCUCAUUCUUAGGUUUUGCAUCCCAUACUAGCUAUAGGGUUCAUUUUGCUUGAGAGUCCCCUUCUGAUAAGGGAAACGAGCGAGUGUGGCUACUCG
rnacentral:lncRNA from 1 species